rnacentral:rRNA from 1 species
UACGUAGGGUGCGAGCGUUGUCCGGAAUUACUGGGCGUAAAGAGCUCGUAGGUGGUUUGUCGCGUUGUCCGUGAAAACUCACAACUCAAUUGUGGGCGUGCGGGCGAUACGGGCAGACUGGAGUACUGCAGGGGAGACUGGAAUUCCUGGUGUAGCGGUGGAAUGCGCAGAUAUCAGGAGGAGCACCGGUGGCGAAGGCGGGUCUCUGGGCCGAUACUGACGCUGAGGAGCGAAAGCGUGGGGAGCGAACAGG